rnacentral:lncRNA from 1 species
AAGUGAUUUCAGAAGCAUUCGAGCUCUGGAUUUGCAUUGCUCCAUCGCAGCACGCGAGGAUGGCAGCAGCAGUUCCGCACGUGUCCUUUACGUCCUCAUCCACCAGGGCUUCCCGCCAUCGCUCACUCCCCUCCCCAGGCCUCCGAGGCCCUCCCGCCGAGCAGCCGCUCCUUCUCCCUCUCUUUCGCCUCAUCCCACAUCAUAAAAGCUGGGCAGUGGGUCUGGCCGCUGCAGAGCCCGCCUCAGAGGUGGAGCUUGGAAGACCCGAACAGGCGGCCGGGAUUCCGGGGCAGACUGAGAGCGGGCGGAGGUAGCAUCUGCUCCCUGCACAGCAGCCUUGGCGAUCCCUCACAAGUGCAGCUCGGAGCAUGCCGCUCCUCCGUGCGGAAGGUUCCACCAGCUCCCACGCCCCCAGCAUCCAAGGCACCGACUGUGGACUAUGGGACUACGGGGCUUCCCAUCAUCAGCUCCCGCUGUCUCCCUCUCAGUCAACUUUCACCUCAAAUGGUGCUUCCUCCAGAUGCCUCUCAGAGGAUUCUCCCUCACGGGAAUGGUCCCCCUGCCUCCAUACCCCUCUCAGUCUUUCACAUAUCACCCUGUUUUGUGGUCUUCAUAUCGCCGGUCGCUGAUAUUUUCUUGUUUCGUUCUUCAUUUCCCAUCUGCCUCUCCAAACGAGAGAGCAAGUUCCAUAUGAAAGCCCCUUUCCUGCUUGAACACUGCCUCCCCAGUGCCUGGUGCACCAUCUCAUUCUUAACAGAUGCUCAAUAAAUGCUUGUUGAUUGAAUGUAUGAAAACACGAAUGAAUGAUUUGGAAAGACACAUUUGCAUUCAUUUGGCUACAAUAACAGAAAAAGGACUCAGCCUGGCUUAAAGAAUGAGGACUUUCUAUUUCACAUAACAGGGUCGAAAUGUUGGGUGGAUUCCAGGUAUAGUAUGAUCAGGGCUCUGGCUUAUUUUCUCUGUGGUUGCCUCAGCCCAGCCCUCCUCAAGUGUGGGAUUUAUCCUCGGACCGGUUUCUCUCAUAGACAUGCAACGGCUGCCCACAGCAAUGGGAGCAAGAAGCUUACUUGUUCCUGCCCUGUAGGAGAGAGAGUCUUCACACCCCCCCACCCCCAAAUGAGAUGUUCUCCCCAGCCUGCCUGGGCCACCCAUUGGGAUGCCAUGUGCUGAUCGACUUAAAUCUGGAC